GUUCCUACGGGACGCAGCAGUGAGGAAUAUUGGUCAAUGGACGGAAGUCUGAACCAGCCAUGCCGCGUGCAGGAAGACGGCUCUAUGAGUUGUAAACUGCUUUUGUACGAGGGUAAACCUGAAUACGUGUAUUCAGCUGAAAGUACUGUACGAAUAAGGAUCGGCUAACUCCGUGCCAGCAGCCGCGGUAAUACGGAGGAUCCAAGCGUUAUCCGGAUUUAUUGGGUUUAAAGGGUGCGUAGGCGGUAUUUUAAGUUAGUGGUAAAACGUCGGGGCUUCACCUUGAUUGGCCAUUAAAACUGGAG
rnacentral:rRNA from 1 species